ACCUUCUAAUUCCUAUAGGCCUGAAAAUAAUCUUGCGAUUAAUAUGAGAAAAUAAUUUGCAUUCAAUGUUUCUUUUGUAUUUUUAAUUUGGUUUUGAAUACAUGAUGAAUUUCUAGACAUGCAUUUCACUUCAAAUUGUCAAACGUUCUAAAACUACUAACAAUGGGAUAAAACUGUCAUAUUCCCCUUUGUUUUAGAAUUAGCAUAAUGUUAUACAUUACAUGCAGUUAUGUCGUAGCAUUGGUAUAGACGAUGUAACGGAUUUAGGGGCAAAAUUUCGGUGAUUUCCAGACGACUAUUAUUUCAAUGUAAAGGGUUUAUGACAAUAUAUAUGUAUUUAUGACCAGUUAUUGGAGAAAUCAACAAACAUAGCAUGUGGUUUAAUGGUCAUGAAAUGACCUUGUUUAUUUUUACAGAGAAAAACAUAUAACAUGUUUAUUGUAUGAAAAAACAGGUUUCUGAAAUUUUUUACCAAGGAAAAUAAAUUUAUAAAAGUAAAUAAAGUAAAUAAAAUGUGGAGGUUUCUUUAGAAAUGGCCAAAAAGAUAGGAACUGAAAGAGACUAUCUUCCCCCACAUUUUCCUCCAAUGUACUGGCUACUUCAAGUGGCUGUAUUCCCGAGUCAAUGUCAUUUUCCCCUAGCUGAAGCACAACAACAAGCGGCUAUCGAACUUGUGUUUGAAAUAGUUAGUACAGGUUCGAAGACCGUUAUAGUUUUCACAAGCCAAGAGUCCACCAAGUCCCCUGUGGAUCACCGAACAUUCCUUCAGGUCGUAGUUGGCAGGCAGUAUCUGACGGCGAAAGCUAUCAUCAAGCCUACGAAUAAAAC
rnacentral:lncRNA from 1 species